ACCUUGAGUACAAAUGAAGUAGGCGGAAUGAGUCAUGUAGCGGUGAAAUGCAUAGAUAUGACUCAGAACACCGAUUGCGAAGGCAGCUUACUAACAUGUAACUGACGCUGAGGGACGAAAGCGUGGGGAGCGAACAGGAUUAGAUACCCUGGUAGUCCACGCCGUAAACGAUCAUCACUCGCUGU
rnacentral:rRNA from 1 species